CUGACACCCAGAUUCCAUGAAAAAUUCUGCUCAUCAGCACCAUGUACAUAUUUGCACAUGGAUUCCACUUGAAGGCCUGUAUUCCAUGGCUCUAAUUAUAGUUGGCUUUGCCAGAGCCCUUUGUACCUGAAGAUUUCAAGGCUUUAGAGGAGAGUAAACUCUACAAAUCAUGGGAGCACCCUCUGUCAGACUUCAGGCACAGAGGAGGUGCAGACUAAAACCUGGGUAAAGGAGGGGCCUAGCCAGCAUCUCAGCAUGUUGGUGAGAGUUUCACUCUAGGCCCAGGGAGAGGGUCUUAUUCCUGACUGGUUUAUGCUGUGCUGAGACAGCCUACCUGACAAGAAUGCUGCAAAACAGGAUCAGUGUGCCAUGGCCUUUAUAUUCAACAUUGCUGUUGGAUGCAUAAAAAAAUCCCACCACACCUCCUUGUUAUCCUAGGCUUUGCCCAGUCCAGUAACAGUCAAGGCUAUGUGUUUUGCUAGCUGUGGGGUUUCAAUUUGGUAGCUUUUCAGAAAAGUAACUCGUUCAAAUACAGCAAAUUGAGAGAAAGCGCAAGUUGGAGUGAAACCAGUUAAGAGAUGCCUGCUGGUUCUCCUAGCUGUAUAGCACACAGCAAAAAAAAUUUUUUAAAUUAAAAACUUAAAAAUGCCCUGUUCCUAGUGUAGUAUUUCAGAGAUUUCUCUUUUGGGGGUUCUUUGCUGGUAGCUCAGGCAUUUAUUUUCACCAUAGCAGCACAUGACAAGGCCAUAAACACGUGGCUUUAAACUAAGCUAGUGUUCGAGUAUCCGCUUAACUAUUCAGUGUGUAGUGUGCACACAGUUUGCUUUUGUUUCCUUGUUGUUUCUGCCUUCUUGGCAAAAACAUAUGCAUGCAUUUCAUCUUGGUUUGCAUUGGAGGCUCGAUUCCAUGACUCGCCAGGAAAAGACGUUCUUCCUUUCUGCUGCAGGGCACACCAUAAUCGCUGGUCAAAUAACAGAGCAUUCACAUUGUGUAAUAUUUGCAUUAGAAUGACUCAAGCUCUAGAACAUUCCAAACUGGAAACAUUUUAGUAUGAAAACCUAGGAAGAAUGAACCAGGAAGGAUUUUUCAGCCACUCUACCAAACUCCAAGCUCCUUGAGAGCAGGGCCUUUGUGAGCUGCACCUUUCAUUCUUCAGUAGUGCCUUGAACAUCAAUCACAAGCACUCCAGAAAUGUUUGCUGAGUGAGCAAGUUAAUGAUGUGGUCAGUGAAUGACAGGGGACUAAUUUAGGAAUGGGUGGGGAUAGAGUAUAGUGGCAAUAUCGCAAGGGUAAGCUGAGGAAAAAAUGAUUGCUUCUGCCUGGAUUAUGAAAGAAUCUUCUCAUGAGAGCAAAGAAAGACCAUUUUAUGUAGACAUGACUCUGGAUGCAUGAGCUGACAAGUCGUAAGGAAGGCAUGGACAGGAAAGUCAUAGUCAGGUAUUAGCAGGAGAUGAGGCUGAGACUUGGCAUCCAGAAUAGGAGAUUUAGAGAAAAGUGCAUUCUGAGAUGAGUGCAACAUUUUCAGAUGAGUUGGGGGUGAGUCUGGAGUCUGAAACUCCUGACGAGUCAGAUACAGCUGAAGAUCCUCGUGGGUGAUGCAGAGCAGAACUUGUUAUCAGCCUCAUAAGUGUCCAGAAAUGGUACUCAUGAUGGGAUACCUGAUCGGCCAGAAUCAGAAUCUUCUCUGGAACAACCUAGAGGGUAAAUGUGAUUCUGCAAGGUCAGAGAGCCAAUCAUUUGUAGAGCACUGGUCCAUUAUGUGUAACUGUAAAAGAAAGCCACAAUGCUUACACAUGAAGGUAGCACCGUUUCGUUUGCUCAAAUCUUCUUGCACACCCCAUCCAUUAUUAUCAAAUAGGAUGCAUCCUUAGGAAGCAUACAGACAGGUGGCUUAAUGAAUCCAGUGCGGGAAGGAAUGGAGACUGAGCUCCCAGUGUGUCCCUAGCAGCUUCCAUGUACAAGGUCUAAAAGGACAAGGACCACCUCCUGUGAGGACCUGUCCUGUGACAUAGUAACCCGUGUGAAAGGAACGCCCUGCAAUAUUCCUGCCUAUCUCCCUUUCUUUCUGCCCUUGACCCCAUAACAUACACUUUAUUGAAUGCCAUUACUUCUCUGGUGUAUGCACGCUUGUUACAUAGAAAGAGACGUUAAGAGACAUAGAGUUGAAAUUUAACUCUUUCAUGUAGAACUGUUCAUUUCACUUAUGUUUUGUACUUCAUCUUAGGAAUCAGGUACUUUGGUGACCGAUGUGGAUUUUAUUUCCAUUUUCAAGCUCUAUCUUCAAAUUCUCUAACCUGUUCACUAAUGCCUUGUGUGCGUUGUACUAAUCUUUUAUAUCAUGCCUUCAGGUGAGAAAGAACAAACGCCCCUCAGGGGUUGCUACUUGCUGUCAUAUGCUGGCUGUGAAGGUUAAAAGAAAGAAUGUAUGCGUGAUGUUUCUGCCGUGUGCGGUGCCCUCACAUGGUACUCCAGGCCUCCUGGAGGACUCCUGCCGAUUCCUGUCAUUGAAUGGGAAAUAGUGUUAGAAUGUGUUCACACAGUCUUGUGAUAUCCAGCCUCAGUCUCUUUAUAAUUAUUUGUUAUUCUUGGAUAUUACACACCUGCUCAGACUGAGUCAAACAUUUGUGGUGCUGUCAACCUGAUUUCUUGACUCAUGAUUUUUGUAUUUCCAAUACGAACUUGUGUGUUAUGAAUUUCUGAUUUCUCCAAUAGUAUAUGCCGUUAUAUACAUUUGUAUUAAUAAAUGACAGACUGGUU